rnacentral:rRNA from 1 species
AGCGUAGACGGAUGGACAAGUCUGAUGUGAAAGGCUGGGGCUCAACCCCGGGACUGCAUUGGAAACUGCCCGUCUUGAGUGCCGGAGAGGUAAGCGGAAUUCCUAGUGUAGCGGUGAAAUGCGUAGAUAUUAGGAGGAACACCAGUGGCGAAGGCGGCUUACUGGACGGUAACUGACGUUGAGGCUCGAAAGUGUGGGUAGCAAACA